AAUCGCGUCAGUCGGAAACGUUCCGAGUGACCUGUUGUCUUGUGUUUUCUUCGUGCGCGAUCUUCAAAUUUGUGAAGCUGUUCGCCGAACGUAAAGGCAGAGGGGUGAUCUUUUAAUUGAACACGUAAACAAACCCCUAAUUAAACGCAUUGUGUACCAGAAAUCGCAUCCACGAUCACGAACGGCCGCUCGAAGUUAUUUGUGCUGCAGACUAAGAGGGGGCGUUCCGCCCCAACCCCCUCAGUUCACUUAAGGUUUCUUCCUAGACCAGGCCGAGUUAAUGAAGUAAAAGUCUUUGCGGAUGGGGACUAUGAACGGACGCCCCAACCCCCCCGCGGGCCCUUUUUUUCUGAUGCUGGCCUCCUCCUAGUCCAGGCGGAGUUAAUGAAGUUACAAGCUAUUAGAGAUGCCCUCCCCCACUGAUGGCCCACUCAGCUACCAACAGUUCAGUUAAUGGUUCUUCCUAGGCAAGACCGACUCAAUGAGGCUAUGAGAUUUCAGAAGGGCAGCCUUAUAAAGGUAGGAUUUUUCUUUUUUUGCAUGAUCCUUUGCAUGUUGUAUAUUAUGUGGGGGGGAAAGUGAAUAGUGCAGUGAUUGAAAAGAAGAUCAUCAACUAGAUUGGAACGAUCUUCCUAUGUAAUAAGUGAGUUGUAACCAUCCUCUCGACCCGCCAUCUUGGAGAUGUAAGGUUGGCUGCAUGUAGUCUCCCCCGUGGUGGAAAUCACUUACUUCAUAAGAAUCAGUGACUAUGAAUUCAUAGCCAUGCCAUUUUAAUGGAGUAAACUGAUCUCCCUGCGAACUGGGCCAUGACGAAGCAUUGGAGUCAAUUUUUUCAUCUCCAAGGUGAAGGUUUUUCGGGAAUGGUUAUACCUCAUUUAUUAAUUAUCGGAGGAAGAUCAGCUUAACCGAUUUAAAAAAAGGUGAGUGACCUUUGAUCACGAAAGGCUGUGCUUAUGCUAAAGUUGAGUACUUUUGUUUCAUGCGAUGGAAUUUUGACUCAAGUGGUGACUAGGAAGUGGCGCCCCCCCUCCCAGAUGUCCGCUAACCAGCUGCCAGCAAGAUUCAUCUUUGUUGAGACAGAGUGGAUGAAGCUAAAGGUUAUUAGACACGACCCCCCUCCCUGCACAAUGCCUAUUCAACUGCCAGCAGUUCAGUUCUUCCUAGGCAAGACCGAUUUAAUAAGGCUAUAGGG